UUUUAGCGGUGAAGAUAUUGGUCAAUAGCCUAACCGGCUGAACCAGCAACUUGGAGGAAUGUUCAGGGAAUGCGGGUAAAAUGUGAUGUUCGAGAUAGUAUUAGUGAUUAAUAUGAAAUUAACUAAGUUAAUUAAAAUUCAAAGUAGAUAUGUGAUUAUGUCAAUAUUUGCUUAUUUCUUGAGCAAGUCACGUGCCAGCAGGCGCGGUAAUACGUGGAAGAUAAGUGUUAUUCAUCUUUAGUAAGUUUAAAGGGUACCUAGACGGUUAAUUAAGCAUAUAAAUGUACUAAUUAUUAACUAGAGUUUAAUGUAAGAAGGAUUGAGUACGGUGAGUGAAGAGAUAAAAUUCUGUCAUACCACUUAUGAACUGGUAAAGGCGAAGGCAACCUUUUAUGUAAAAACUGACGUUGAGGGACGAAGGCUCGUAUUAUGUAAUAGGAUUAGAGACCCUAGUAUUGUGGGCAGACAAUGAUGAGUGUCAUAUGCAAGAAAAUUUUUUGUGUAUAAAUGAAAGUGUAAGCAUUCCACAUCAAGAGUAACGUGGCAACAUGGGAACUGAAAUCAUUAGACCGUUUCUGAAACUCGUAGUGAAGUAUGUUGUUUAAUUUGAUAAUCCUCAAAGAACCUUACCACAAUUUGUAUUAAUAGUAUUUAUAUUAGUAACAAGCGUUGCACGGCUGUCUUCAGUCAAUGUUGUGAAACUUUGGUUAGAUCCAUUAAAUUGACGUAAACCCUUGCUUUAUUUGUUAUAAAGCAGUUCGUCGCUAUAUUGGUAAUGAUAUAAGGGACCAAGACAAGUCAUCAGUCUUU
rnacentral:rRNA from 1 species